rnacentral:rRNA from 1 species
CAAUAGCGUAUAUUAAAGUUGUUGCGGUUAAAAAGCUCGUAGUUGGAUUUCUGUUGGGAACGACCGGUCCGCCCAUUGGGUGUGUAUCUGGCUUGUUCUCGGCAUCUUCUUGGUGAACGUUGCUGCACUUGACUGUGUGGAGCGCUACCCAGGACUUUUACUUUGAGGAAAUUAGAGUGUUUCAAGCAGGCAUAUGCCUUGAAUACAUUAGCAUGGAAUAAUAAGAUAGGACCUCGGUUCUAUUUUGUUGGUUUCUAGAGCUGAGGUAAUGAUUAAUAGGGAUAGUUGGGGGCAUUCGUAUUUAACUGUCAGAGGUGAAAUUCUUGGAUUUGUUAAAGACGGUCUACUGCGAAAGCAUUUGCCAAGGAUGUUUUCAUUGA